rnacentral:rRNA from 1 species
AUGCGUAUGUUGAGAUGGAUGUGUGGCCACACGAGGAAGGAUCGAGUCUGGAAUGAUGAUAUACGAGAUAGAGUUGGGGUAGCACCAAUUGAGGAGAAGCUUGUCCAACAUCGUUUGAGAUGGUUUGGGCAUAUUCAGCCCAGGCCUCCAGAAGCUCCAGUGCAUAGCGGACGGCUAAAGCGUGCGGAGAAUGUCAAGAGAGGGCGGGGUCGACCGGUUUUGACAUGGGAGGAGUCCGUUAAGAGAGACCUGAAGGAUUGGAGUAUCGACAAAGAGCUAGCUAUGGACAGGGGUGCGUGGAAGCUUGCUAUCCAUGUGCCAGAGCCAUGA